rnacentral:rRNA from 1 species
AUGAAUUGGUCGAGUACCUUGCACAUCACCUCAAGGACUCUCCGCACUAUUUAUGUGUGUUGCUGGUGCUACAACGAGAGAUCACAAAAGGUGGACCACAAUAUGGUCAUCCAGGACACACCUUCACUUGAGAGAUUACUUGUAGUUGAUCAACAAGGUCCAACAAGAAUCAAUGUCAUUUCUGCACCGAAAUUGAAAGUGGUGGGCUACUCGUCUGUCAAAUACUACAACUUUCAGCGAAGCUUCACCCACACUCUGGGCACAGUGAAGGUCUUGGCACUAGAAUCUCUCAUCCCCAACCUGGACCAAUGCAUAUUAGGCCCGGUCGAAGAUGUUGAUAACGACAAUCACAUCGAAUGCCUGGAUUUGCAUCUCUCAAAUAUUACUUUGAACUCCUACCGAGGGACCCCACCGGAGAUUACACUCGCCAUGUUCUUUCUUGUCAGAGCAAAGGUGUUGAGGCCACAAAACAAGCCGAGUACAGCCCCCGAUGCGUCUCUCUCUCUCUCUCCUAUACUCUGUGCCCGUCCCUAUCCCAACCCCCGCCGCCGCGCCCGCGCCCUUGCGCGGCUUCCGGCCGCCGCUGUUUCUGCCACUCCAUCGCAGGGCGGGCGUGACUUUCCCUGCUCUCCUCUACUCGCCAUCGCUCGUAGCCACUGCUCCUCCCCUCUGAUCGUCCACCGACAGCCGCUGGUAACGUUGCCGCUGGGGGUGCCGCAGCCACCGGCGUCUCGCUCCAGGAGAUCGAUUAAGCUCGGGUUCUGCUGUGCUACGCUCUGUAUCAAUUUGGUUGAUGCGAGGCCCCCGAACCCGAAGCACCACCCGGCUUGGCGGCCCCCGACGCCGGUCACCACCCUCGCCACCGGUUGCUGCCCUCGCCGUCGGUUGCCUCCUUCGCCGCGCGUCAGCUCUCUCCCAACCAUCUCACUCGUUCGCAGCUUCCGUCGUGGUCAGAUCCCCCGCCAAACUUGGCCAUGGCUGACACGGAGCCUCCGUCGGCAGCGGUUGAAGCUCCCCGCCCCCGCGGUUGCAGCAUCUGGUGCACCACCCCCCUCCGUCCUCGCCGUCGAGCUCGCCGCAGGCGUCGCCGUCUCUGCUGGCCUCCAUCGACAUGCAUCAAAAAACAUCAGCAAAAACCGCCACCCCCUUCUUGCAGCUCCCCUGGUCACCGGUUGUAGCUCUGGCGUACAUGGUUGCAACUCCCGGCGUUUGACCGACGUUGGAUGCAGCCCUCCUCGCCAUUGGAUGCAGCUUCCUCCGGCGAGAGAAUCAUGGUGGUUUGGUGAUAAAAAAUGCCCUCCGAGUUACAAGGAAAUUACCUCCGUGGCUCCGUAUGCCACCGGGUGCCUCCCUGUUCCCAAACCCGAUCCUGCAUGGUUAUCUCGUUGUUCUCUCACAACAUCACGGGUCUCCUACGCUAGGAGAUCGACGCUGCCAAAUGCAUCAACCUCGUCUCGCUACAGGCUAGCUCGACGUCGUCCCAUGUGUUGCCGCUUUCCAGCUCGUCCUCCACCUCCAGUUAGGUGCUGCUUAGCUCGACCUCGGCCUCCAGCUCACUGCCGACCAGCUCGACCGCAGGAAAAAGUUGGUCGAGGGCAUGUCUUCUCCUUUAUAGAUACAUGA